rnacentral:lncRNA from 1 species
AGGAUAUUGUGGGGAAUAUGGUCAUCUUGGGAAGAAAGCCCUAAUAGAGUGAUUAUUUUGCCAUCUUGUGCUAUGUAAACCCCCAAAAUUUGAUUAAGACAAAGCAUUUAUUAUUAAGCACAGAUGCGAGGGCUGGGUGAGUGCAUUUUGUCUAGGACCAGCCUCCCUGGGGCCCCAUGUCCCGGGCAGCUUUCCGAGGGCCAGUGAAGGAUUCACCAUCCAUCUGGCCGCUGGCUUGACGUCAUCCAUCAGGUUAGUCACACUCCUGCAUGUGGCGGUCCAAGGUCGUCCCCCGCAGUGGAGAGGGCAGGCCCCAGUGCACAGGCCCCUCUUCACGUUCAUCACCUAAGCUGCUGCUCUAUCAGACCUGCACCCAGUUAUUCAGUGAUGCCUGCUGAGUGGGCGUAGCAGGAGGAUAAAAUCCGCACUGAGCCCCCCGUGUCCUCCAGCCAGCCAAGGCACUUACACACACGCAUGCACACACAUGUGCGGUAGAUCAGAUCUCCCCUUCGGACACAAGGGAACCACUGCAGAGGGGGCAGGAAGACGGCCGAGAAUCACACAGCACCAGCAAAAGAAAUCAGCUGCUGCGUCUCCUGCUGCCUGCCUGCACGUUUCCUGGAGCUCCACAUCCAUGCUGUUUCCUAGGAAACCAUCACACGGCCCACAGGGCUGUCUGCCUGAAAGAGGGGGGUGGUCCGUCCAGGGCCCACUCCCUCUUUUCCUGCAUCAGCGACGCUGCGGCCCUUUGUCAGCGCGUUAAUGUGGCGAAAACAGAAUGCCCAGAGCUUGCCGCUGGGAUUACAUUUCCAGCGAGAUGUUUGUGCUCACUGAAGGACCAGGUUCACUGAGCUUCUCGCCGGUCAGAGCAAGCGUUUGUAUCCGCUGGCCGUCCUGCAGCAGGCAGAGUGGGGAGUGGUGUCUGGAGACGGCCCGAAAGUGGAGGGCGAGUCUUCGGUCUUCCUGGUGGUUCUGCUUGUAUCGCCUCGAGGAAACAACUCCAUCAACCGAACACACGCGGAACUGCCGCUCAGCUGGCCACCGGCACGUAACUCACGAAGCAUUUUAAAAAGCAAGUAUCCUCUGUUUUGAUGCUCAUGCAGAGAUGAGUGCCUGGCUCAGAAGGGUAAAUGCACGUGCAUCUGCCUCUCCUCCUGGACUGUUAGGUUCGUAAGGGCAGGACCGUGUCUGUCUUAUUAAUAUGUGAACCCCACUGCCCAGCACUGUAAAUAUUCACCGAUAAAUACACGAAUAAAGAAGUGAAAACAGGAGAAAGAGAUGUGAUG